CUAUUCAGUUAUAGCACAACCCUAGCUCUGGAUGAAGACAUCAACUCGGGACUAGUCUCUCUGAAAUGCCCCAGUCAGAUCCACAGUCUCAUUAAGCCUCACAGCUUCUUGUCUUUCAAUUCUGCUCUGAGAAAUUCCCUGGGGAUCUGGCAGAAGGCCACUGUCAGAAGAAAGGAGCUAUGUUGUGUUCUCAGCUACCUGGUUGAUUCUAUAUGCAGCCUCUCCUCUGGGCAUGGUCUCAAGACCCACAUGGACCAGAAACAGAAAGCCACAGGUUUUCCUGUGCUUCAGUCUCAAGCUGGAGGUGUUGCAGAUUCCCACUCAGAACAAGCCACCAACUUCCAAGGAAGGGAUCUCCAGCUCAGCCAACUCAAGACCAGAGGGCAGCCAUUCUCUUGCCACAAAGAAAACACCUGUGCAACCUCAAAGGUCCUGCUCUAGUCAGGAUGUGGCAGUGGCUGCUUGCAGAUGCUUUGAAGUCCUCUGACACAGGGAAGCCAUCACCCAGAGGUUACCAGGUGACAUAAGUGCAAGUCCAACAGGUCACAGAGAGCACAGUUGCUUCCCCCUUGAAGAAACCUGCAUUUACCAACCAGGUGAGGGAUCCAAAUAGCACUCAGAGAAAUGAAAAUGAGACAAUUUAAACAUGCAAGAAGACUCACCACCUCUCCAUCAUUUAAAAUGAAAAAUUUACCAAGCUCCCUGGCAAAUCCAGGGAGAGG